rnacentral:rRNA from 1 species
CCUACGGGAGGCAGCAGUGAGGAAUAUUGGUCAAUGGGCGCAAGCCUGAACCAGCCAAGUCGCGUGAGGGAUGACGGUCCUAUGGAUUGUAAACCUCUUUUGUCGGGGAGCAAGGCCCGCCACGUGUGGCGGGAAGGAUAGUACCCGCAGGAAAAGCCUCGGCUAACUCCGUGCCAGCAGCCGCGGUAAUACGGGGGAUGCGAGCGUUAUCCGGAUUUAUUGGGUUUAAGGGGGGCGUAGGGGGAAGGUUAAGUCAGCGGUAAAAUGUCGGUGCUCAACACCGGCCUGCCGUUGAAACUGGUCUUCUUGAGUGAGCGAGAAGUAUGCGGAAUGCGUGGUGUAGCGGUGAAAUGCAUAGAUAUCACGCAGAACUCCGAUUGCGAAGGCAGCAUACCGGCGCUCAACUGACGCUGAGGCACGAAAGCGUGGGGAUCGAACAGGAUUAGAUACCCGUGUAGUC